rnacentral:rRNA from 1 species
GACGAACGCUGGCGGCGUGCUUAACACGUGCAAGUCGAACGGAAAGGCCCUGCUUUUGUGGGUUUCUCGAUUGGCGAAGGGGGGAGUAACACGUGAGUAACCUGCCCUUGUUUUUGGGAUAACUUCAGGAAACUGGGGCGAAUACCGGAUAGGAUCUCCUGCUGCAUGGUGGGGGUUGGAAAGUUUCGGCGGUUGUGGAUGGACUCGCGGCUUAUAAGCUGGUUGGUGGGGUAGUGGCUUACCAAGGCUUUGACGGGUAGCCGGCCUGAGAGGGUGACCGGCCACAUUGGGACUGAGAUACGGCCCAGACUCCUACGGGAGGCAGCAGUGGGGAAUACUGCACAAUGGGCGGAAGCCUGAUGCAGCAACGCCGCGUGCGGGAUGACGGCCUUCGAGUUGAAAACCGCUUUCGCCUGUGACGAAGCGUGAGUGACGGUAAUGGGUAAAGAAGCACCGGCUAACUACGUG